rnacentral:lncRNA from 1 species
GGACCGUUCCUGUAAAUUGAUUGUUUGAUAAAUCAAGAUAGACAAGUUUGGGAAGUUUACCAAUUUGAGGUGGAAUGGUGCUGAAGAGACGGUUGACUGAGAGAUCUAUAUAAGCAAGAUUUGGGAAAGAUGAGAAUGGAAACUCAUAGAAGAAGGCAUGAAUGCUUGCAUUUGUGAGUUUCAACCCAUUAACAUUUCCGUCAACGCAAGAAACUCCAAACCAAUUGCAUGGACUAGAACUUGCUUUUGGAUGGCUAGAAAAAUUUG